rnacentral:rRNA from 1 species
UACGGAGGGUGCAAGCGUUAUCCGGAUUCACUGGGUUUAAAGGGUGCGUAGGCGGAUAUGUAAGUCCGUGGUGAAAUCUCUGGGCUUAACCCGGAAACUGCCAUGGAUACUAUGUGUCUUGAAUGUUGUUGAGGUGAGCGGAAUAUGUCAUGUAGCGGUGAAAUGCUUAGAUAUGACAUAGAACACCCAUUGCGAAGGCAGCUUACUACGCCUAUAUUGACGCUGAGGCACGAAAGCGUGGGGAUCAAACAGG